rnacentral:rRNA from 1 species
UACGUAGGGUGCAAGCGUUGUCCGGAUUUAUUGGGCGUAAAGAGCUCGUAGGCGGUUUGGUAAGUCGGAUGUGAAAUCUCCAGGCUCAACCUGGAGGGGUCAUUCGAGACUGCUAUGACUAGAGUUCGGUAGAGGAGUGUGGAAUUCCUGGUGGAGCGGUGAAAUGCGCAGAUAUCAGGAGGAACACCCGUAGCGAAGGCGGCACUCUGGGCCGAUACUGACGCUGAGGAGCGAAAGCGUGGGGAGCGAACAGG